rnacentral:rRNA from 1 species
CCUACGGGAGGCAGCAGUGAGGAAUAUUGGUCAAUGGCCGAGAGGCUGAACCAGCCAAGUCGCGUGAGGGAAGACGGCCCUACGGGUUGUAAACCUCUUUUGUCGGGGAGCAAAGCGAGUCACGUGUGACUCAUUGAGAGUACCCGACGAAAAAGCAUCGGCUAACACCGUGCCAGCAGCCGCGGUAAUACGGAGGAUGCGAGCGUUAUCCGGAUUUAUUGGGUUUAAAGGGUGCGCAGGCGGAGGUGCAAGUCAGCGGUCAAAUUGCGGGGCUCAACCCCGUACUGCCGUUGAAACUGCAGCCCUUGAGUGCGCGAGAAGUAGGCGGAAUGCGUGGUGUAGCGGUGAAAUGCAUAGAUAUCACGCAGAACUCCGAUUGCGAAGGCAGCAUACCGGCGCGCAACUGACGCUCAUGCACGAAAGCGUGGGUAUCGAACAGGAUUAGAUACCCGGGUAGUC